rnacentral:snoRNA from 1 species
CCUCUCUCAAGGUCAAACCUGGAGAGUUCUCAGUACUCUACCAGUCUUGACUACAGGAGGGAGAGUCAGGCAGAGGCCUGUCCAUUCCAUCCCUAGCUUGGGCAGUGGCUAGUGAGUGGAAGGCAAUCUGCUCCAAGU